UACGGAAGGCAGCAGUGGGGAAUUUUGGACAAUGGGCGCAAGCCUGAUCCAGCCAUGCCGCGUGAGUGAAGAAGGCCUUCGGGUUGUAAAGCUCUUUCGGACGGAAAGAAAUCGCGCAGGCUAAUACCCUGCGCGGAUGACGGUACCGUCAUAAGAAGCACCGGCUAACUACGUGCCAGCAGCCGCGGUAAUACGUAGGGUGCGAGCGUUAAUCGGAAUUACUGGGCGUAAAGCGUGCGCAGGCGGUUGAUUAAGACAGGCGUGAAAUCCCCGGGCUUAACCUGGGAACUGCGCUUGUGACUGGUCAGCUAGAGUACGGCAGAGGGGGUGGAAUUCCACGUGUAGCAGUGAAAUGCGUAGAGAUGUGGAGGAACACCGGAUGGCGAAGGCAGCCCCCUGGGGCCGAUACUGACGCUCAUGCACGAAAGCGUGGGUAGCAAACGAGGAUUAGAAUAACC
rnacentral:rRNA from 1 species